AACAAACGCUGGCGGCGUGCCUAAUACAUGCAAGUCGAACGAGGUAGCAAUACCUAGUGGCGCACGGGAGAGUAAUACAUGGAUAAUCUGCCUUAGAGUGGGGGAUAACUUUCCGAAAGGAGAGCUAAUACCGCAUAAGACCACAAGCUCUGCGGAGCAAGGGGUUAAAGGUUUUUCGCUCUAAGAUGAGUCCAUGCUCGAUUAGUUAGUUGGUAGGGUAAUGGCCUACCAAGGCUUCGAUCGAUAGCUGAUCUGAGAGGAUGAUCAGCCUCACUGGAACUGAGACACGGUCCAGACUCCUACGGGAGGCAGCAGUAGGGAAUAUUGCACAAUGGAGGAAACUCUGAUGCAGCGACGCCGCGUGAGCGAUGAAGGCCUUCGGGUUGUAAAGCUCUGUUGUACGGGAAGAACACAAUGACGGUACCGUAUAAGAAAGGACCGGCUAACUUCGUGCCAGCCGCCGCGGUAAAAC
rnacentral:rRNA from 1 species